CCCGAUGGGAAACCGGUAGACGCGGCGGAUUCAAAAUCCGUUUUCGAAAGGAGUGGGAGUUCGAGUCUCCCUCGGGGCCA
rnacentral:tRNA from 1 species